UGCCAAGCCCGAGGAUCUACCUGAUUUC
rnacentral:piRNA from 1 species